GACAGAGGGUGCAAACGUUGUUCGGAAUUACUGGGCGUAAAGCGCGUGUAGGCUGCUCUGCAAGUCGGAUGUGAAAGCCCUGGGCUCAACCUAGGAAGUGCAUUCGAAACUGCAGAGCUGGAGUCCUGGAGAGGAAGGCGGAAUUCUCGGUGUAGAGGUGAAAUUCGUAGAUAUCGAGAGGAACACCGGUGGCGAAGGCGGCCUUCUGGACAGUGACUGACGCUGAGACGCGAAAGCGUGGGGAGCAAACGGG
rnacentral:rRNA from 1 species